CCAUUUGGAAACAGAUGCUAAUACCGGAUAAAAAGCACUUUCGCAUGAAAAGAAGUUUAAAAAAGGACGGCGUAAGCUGUCGCUAAAGGAUGGACCUGCGAUGCAUUAGCUAGUUGGUAAGGUAACGGCUUACCAAGGCGAUGAUGCAUAGCCGAGUUGAAAGACUGAUCGGCCACAUUGGGACUGAGACACGGCCCAAACUCCUACGGGAGGCAGCAGUAGGGAAUUUUUCACAAUGGACGCAAGUCUGAUGGAGCAACGCCGCGUGAGUGAAGAAGGUUUUCGGAUCGUAAAGCUCUGUUGUUGGUGAAGAAGGAUAGAGGUAGUAACUGGCCUUUAUUUGACGGUAAUCAACCAGAAAGUCACGGCUAACUACGUGCCAGCAGCCGCGGUAAAU
rnacentral:rRNA from 1 species